GCGCGUCGCGACCGGUCACCGAACCACGCGCUCCAACGAGGUCUUCAGGAUCGGUGGGUCUCCGACGAUUUUAUUCUGUUUUAUUCCGUCGCUGCCGAGUGACCAAAUACACGUGUCGCCAUCGAUUCAAGGUAAACAAGGUGGUUGAAGGGACUCACUGGAGGAUCACACGGAGAAGCCUGACGCGGAGUUGUGCAACAGACGGGGCCCCUGGUCCGGUGGCGUUGCAGUUGCCUCCUCCUCCUCCUUUUUUUUUUCCUGCGCUACGCGGAUCCUGACUGAGAGCAAAGCCGACGCGACGACGACGACGGGUGCGUCAGAUCGACCGAUGAGCAUGGCAAUUGAUGGCAACGGCAUGGAGAUAUUUCACAGAGAUCCCAUAGGGAUUCCCGUCACGCAGGAAUACUGGAGGAAAUACGAAUCAACACUCCGGGCAUGUCUCCUGAGGCUGUUCUCAUCCAAAGUUUGGGUAUGUUAAUUCGAAACUGUACAAUUACGAACUUAAAGGGCGCCGGGCUUCUCUGGAGGAUUAGUUUCUCAUUAAGUUUAGGAUGUCUGUCAUUAAGUCGAGGAAAAUUUUGCCUUGGGGUCUGUUACGGCCCACGUUUGGGCCAGUGGUGGCCACCUGGGACCAGUGGUGCUCAACCCCAGACGCGAGAAGAAUCUCUUGCAGAGAAUUCUCAUUUCUUUUUUAAUACUGACUCAUGGAACAACGAAGUCAUUGUACCUACUUAAAGAACAGGUUUCAGUUGAAAGGAAUUCUCGAUGCAGGGCGUUCCCCAGCGACGAACAAAGGAAAAGUUGCGACUCCUUCGUCGAGAUUUCCCGAAAGAAUUUUAGUAUUUUUUUUUUGCUAAAAAACAAACGUGAGGAGUCUAUUUUGUAUUUUAAAAGGAAGGUGUAAAUGACGAUAAGUUACCUCGAUUUUUGUGGGAUAAUGGUCCUGUUGUUUUUUUUUUUCGAUUUUGGUGACGCUAAUUCCGGACAGAAACAUUCGAGUAAUUCCUCGAGACGCGCCAUCGAUAACGAUAACGACCAAGAAGUUAUGUAAUCGGUUUCUUUCCGUUAAAGUUAACGACACAAUCGAUUAGCGAAGAUUGCGCGUCCGGAAUAUUUGGCAAUCUGGUUAAUACGUAAGCGAAAUCGUUGAUUCUAGAUGUAAGUAAAAGAUACGCGAUGUGUUAUUAACGAAACGUGUGCACGGGAACGAGGUUAAAUUUCCCGCGCAUGCGUCGAACGUUCCAGAAGAAUCCUAACCUCUCAUACUUAGCGUUUUCAAUUAUUUCGGAGAUCUAUUUCUAAUUAAGAUUAUAAUUAGUCCGUUGUAAUU